rnacentral:lncRNA from 1 species
CUGAACGCCGACGAGGAAUGCAAAGAAAUACAGAAACAAAAAUUGCUCGCUGUCGACAUAGAGUAAGAGGAGUCUACUUUUCCUUUCACCUUUUUUCUUUUUUUUUGUUCCCUUACUUUAAUUAUCAGUUAUAUAUGAAGAUAGUUAAUUAUAAUUCCCAACAAGAGUUAGGGUUUGAGCAGUAAUGUAAAAAUUUGAUAAUGGAGUCUUGACUGAGUAUGUAAGAUUCCAAUUGAUAUAUUCUUAGUGAUGAUUAUAACUCAUUGGACUAUAGAAUUGAAGUGGGUAUACAUAGUUUCCCUAUAUUGCUGAAAACUCACGAGUUAGAAGAUUUGACCAAUCUUCUUAAAUUGAAGAGAGUAAUGUUAUAUGCUUUAGACUUGUAUUGAUGUGAAUUGAAUCCGAUUAUUACAUAUAGAUUGAAAAUUUAUGAAUUGGGAGUGUUUGGAGGAUACGUGAAGUUGACGCUAAGUCCGCUAAGUUGAGGCUUACUCUCCUAGUAGAAAAUUCCAUUAGAACCCCUGUGCUCCAUGUGUUCAAUAAAUCCAACCAUGUCUUCUUGCGAUCCAAAUACUACGUUCACUUUAUUCUUAUUCAGUACGAAUAUAUAUGUGACAGAAACACAUGCUCAUUUGUAUUACCAAUUGUUAAGUGCGUUUGUUUGUGAUAUUUACAUUUAGUUAAGUAUUUAGUUUCAACAUUAAUUCAUGCAUCAAUAUGAUCAUUCAGUAGGGAGAAGUGGCCAACCUCCCCCAGCGUGAGUGCCAUGAUGCCAUUGUUAGUUAUCCCACGCUCGCAGGUGCCAAUUGUUUGUUGGGGAGAUAGGACGAUACUCCCCCAUACGUGUUCCCAGAUGCUCACAUACGUAGGGCCACUACGUGUACUGAUUAUCCGAAAAAUGUUCAGUUUUGGCUUACAGUUCAGCUUAUAGUUUCAGUUUCCAGCUCAUUACUUGUUUAUAAAAUUUUAUAUGAUUUUUUGUAUGUCCGUUUUCUUUCAUGUUAUUUUCCGAGAAGGUCUCUCUCCGCCUUUUUAGGAGGUAGCCUAUGAGACUUACUAGGUAUCCUUUGGUGAUACUUAGCCCGUUUGGGCCUGUUACAUCGUGUGGUAGGUAUUGAGGACGCAGGUAACAAGACACGUGGCUAGAGGAGAUAUUUCGAAUUUAGUUUACAGACUCCUUUGAUUCAUCCUAUCGAUAGCGGACUAUUUUCAGACUAUUAUUUAUUUUUAGAUGUUUAUUUUAUUUUCGGGGAAUGCCCUGUAGGCUAUGUAUUUCAGUUUUUUUUUCAAAUUCUAGAGGCUCGUGACUUGUCAGUGGGUUAGUAUUAAGAUAUUUUGGGAUUUAUCCUUUAUUUAAUAUUUUAUCAGUCCGUUUACGAAUAGCAACUUGAUAAGAAUGAAUAUUUAAGUUCAUUAGGUUGUUUACUAUUGAACCUGAAGUUUUGAUACAACUAGUACAGGGUUCACUCAACGAGUGAUAAGGGUUGAGUGCCAAUCACGUCCCACCUUCGUUGGGGGCGUGACACCGCAAUAACGAGAUGCUGAGCAUAGUUCCUUACACUUAUUUUGUGUGCCUUGUUUUCAUCCCUGAGGUAUGUUCACAACAUAUAUUCAGUCGUUUUAUUCGUUACGCGGGCUGGGUAGUCCUUCUCCAGAGUUCGUUCUUCCUUAUGUAUCACAUUCGAGUUAUAUCUUGUUGGCACGUUGCGGGCGUCAUAAAUAUUUUUGGCAGUGUCUGAGAUGGCUUAUUGCAUGAGCAGUUUUUCUAGGUGAGACGAGAUUAUUGGACCUGAAAUUAGUGCAAUCCGAUUUAUAUAAGGCACAUUAAAUAAAAAAUAAUGUUAUUCAGUUCAGAAUGAAGUGAUGGUUCUUGUCAGGAGGAGAGACUUCAUGGAUUGUUGAUUCGGCAGGUGGCUAUGAGUUUCUACACAUCUUUUUCAUUGUGGCAGUAUUUCGAGAGUUGGAACAGGAUUCAUAUGCAUCAUGAGAUGUAUUGUGGGCAUCAGAUUCAUGAAAUUACAGCUAUUGUGGUUGGAGGAUGUUAUUAUGGGCAACCGACUUAUGUUGUGCAUGGUGUGAUUUCAGCAUAGGUGCAUGAUCAUGUUUUGGUAUAGUGUGUGGUAAUUGAUACGGUGUUCGUGUGUUAGAAUUAGGACCUGUAGAGAAAUUCGGAGAUUGGAAUUUGGUCCUAAGGUUUAUUAACUAAAUAAAAGGGAGGAUCUUCAGUCUGACUUGAGCUAAUGUGUCCAACCGGAUUGUGGUGGCACGGGCAGGUGCAUGAGGUGUUAAACAGUGAUUUUGCACAACUCCGAAGCAGUCCUUAGCAUGUUCGAGGACGAACGUAUGUUUAAGUGGGGGAGAAUGUAACGGCCUGACCGGUCGUUUUGAGCUCUAGCGUGUCGUUCGGUGGUUUGAGGCCUUGAGUAGAUUCACUUCAGGUAUUAUGACUUGUACGUGUGGUCGGAAUUUGAAUUUCGAGAAGUUCGGGAUUGAUUUGGAAAGAAAAUUUUAAUUUCGGAAGCUUUAAGUUGGAAGAAUUGACUAAGAUUUGAUUUUUGAGUAAACAACCUCGGAAUUAGGAUUUGAAGGUUCCAAUAGGUUCGUAUGAUGAUUUCGUACUUGGGCAUGUAUUCGGGUUGAGUAUCAGAUCACCCGGGAGCAUUUCGGUACAUAUUAUGGAAGGUUGGCAUUUUGAAGGUUUAAGAAUUUCUUAAGUUUGGUUUGAAGUGGAUUUUGAUGUUAUCGAUGUCCGUUUAGAGUUUCGAGCCUUGGAAUAGCUUCGUUAUGUCAUUUGUCUUAUAUGCGAAAUUUGAAGUCAUUCGGAUUGAUUUGAUACGUUUCGGCACAAGAUAUAGAAUUUGGAAAUUUUAAAAUAUAUAAGUUUGAUACGAGGUGCGAUUCAUAAUUUUAAUGUCAUUUGACGCGGUUUAAGGCUUCGACUAAAUUCAUAUUAUAUUUUGGAACAUGUUGGUAUAUUUGGUUGUAGGUGCAACUCCAUAUAAGCGGAGUCUAGUCCGUAGAUGCGAAGGCAGGGGCUGAAGGGGGACCGCAGAAGCGGUAUGGUGGCGGCACCUACAAAACCGCAGAAGCAGUCAAGUGGCCGCAGGGCGAGAGGUCGCUGGGCAGUGUGUUCUUUUAAGAACGAGGUUUGGUCCAUUUUCUUCCAUUUUCACUUGGUUGGGGCGAUUUUGGAGAGCUUCAAGGGGAGAUUUUCAUCAAGCAACACAAGGUAAGUGACUCCCACCUAUUACAAGUUAAAUACAUGGUUUGUAUAUGGAUUUAAACAUGGAAAUUUGUAGAAACUUGGGAUUUUGGUAGAAAACCUAGAAUUUGGUAUUUUUUAAUUUUUACCACAAAAUUGGACAUGGAAUUUGGAAUAAGUUAUAUAUUUUAUUUCGUGGUAUAAUGGGUAAAGUUUAUCUUCGGAAAUAUUCGAAAUUCGGGCACGUGGGCCUGAGGGUUGUCUUUGUUGGCUUUUGAGCGGAGUUGGGAAUUAUUUUAAAUUGUUAGAUUAUACGUAUUGGGUUAUAUUUUAAUUGGUUUGCUUGUUGUUUGACUAGUUUUGAAGAGACGGGCAGUGGGUUGAGGUGUUUGAGUGGCAUUGGAGCCGAUUAUGGAACUUCGGAGGGAGG